rnacentral:misc_RNA from 1 species
UUUUCCCUUACAUUUUUAAAAACUUCUGUUGCGUCGAAGUUCUAUACAGAUGGGAGAUAUUUUUUUACAUGAUACAUUAAUAGAGAGAUAAAAUAGAACUUUUGUGCUUCCACGAACAGAGAAUGGACAUUAGUCGUUAGGUAAUACUCGACAUGGAUAGUUCGAUAGAAAACGGGCACCAAGAUCUUGAAUGGGCAAUAAAACUAAAUCGUAUCAGUUUGGAGGUGCUUGGAUUAUGGCCUAAAGUUGAGGAAGUUCCUCGGGAAAAAUUAAAGCGCAAUUUGCACGUUCUCGCCAUUUUGCUACUAUUUGUGUUCGGUGUUCUGUUUCCUUGUAUUCAUUCACUAAUAAAGACUCAUGAAGACAUCAUGAUAGUAAUAGAACAUCUGCAAGGUAUCUUACCGAUAAUUACCUGCGUUGUAAGAAUAAUAGUGUUUUGGUGGAAGAAAGAAGUUUGCUUCUCUGAUAUUUUGGAAGACGUUAUACCGAUAAUAAGCAUGAUUACCGAAGAUUGGCUAAAAUCGAGGGAUGUACAAGAAAAAAAAGUGAUGAUUACAUGGGCACAAAAGUCACGCAUAAUUGUUAUAUCCUCAUAUAUUGUAAUGGGAGUAACUUCUGUUUGUGGUGUUCUUCUACCUAUUUUCGGAAUAUCACCAACACACGGAGUGAAUAUUAAUGAUACAGAAAAGAUGUUCCCCCUCAGAGUGUAUUACUUUUACGAUGUAACGAAAAGCCCACAAUACGAACUUACUUAUAUUAGUCUUUCCAUCGGCAUUUUGUUUGCUGCUAUCACAUACACGGGUAUUGAUAAUUUUCUCGGACUAUUAGUGUUUCAUAUUUGCGGCCAAAUAGACAUUCUGAGUACUCGCUUGAUAUAUUUGAAUAAAUUCGUGAAGUUCCAUAAUAGCUUAAAGAAUUGCGUAUGGAAUCACACACGAUUGUUGAGAGCCAUUGCCGUUAUAGAAGAUACAUAUAAUAAGAUGUUACUUGCAUUAUUUUUAUAUUUUGGUAUCCUCUUUGCUUUCUAUGGAUUUUUAAUAAUUAACUUAGUUGAGGAAAGGAAUUAUUUAUCAGUUACACGCAUAUUAAUUCUUAUUUGCCUUGUUAUUACUAUACUUGUUCAUAUGGCUCUCUAUUGCGCUGUCGGUGAAGUUUUAAUCAUUCAAUGCGAUAGAAUGUACCAUGCAAUAUGCAGCCAGAAAUGGUACAACCUGGAUUCAAAAAAAGCCAAAAAUUUGAUCCUUUUAUUGAUCCGAACCAAGGUGUCAUGUUAUAUCACCGCUGGAAAAGUAUUCCCUAUGACAAUGUCUACAUUUUGUAAUAUCUCGAAUGGGCAAUAAAACUAAAUCGUAUCAGUUUGGAGGUGCUUGGAUUAUGGCCGAAAGUUGAGGAAGUCCCUCGGGAAAAAUUAAAGCACAAUUUGCAUGUUCUCUCCAUUUUGCUGAUAUUUGUGCUCAGUAUUCUGUUUCCUUGUAUUCAUUCGCUAGUAAAGACUCACGAAGACAUCAUGAUAAUAAUAGAACAUCUACAAUGUAUUUUACCGAUGAUUACCUGCAUUGUAAGAAUAAUUGUUUUUUGGUGGAAGAAAGAAGACAUCAUACCAAUAAUAAGCAUGAUCACCGAAGAUUGGUUAAAAUCGAGGAAUGUACAAGAGAGAAAUAUGAUGAUUACAUGGGCACAGAGA